rnacentral:lncRNA from 1 species
AAAACCCCUUUUUUUUUUACUUGAUAUUUAUUUUGUGUGUGUUUUAGUUUUAAGCAGUCUUCCUUUUCAUAUUUUUUCAUUUUGACAUAUUAAACACUAAUCCUAAUACGCAUAUUUAACAAAUACGAUAUUAACAUGUUUUAUUAUUCUUUAUAUUAUGCUAAUAAGCCCAUUUUAAUAUGGUAAUUUUUUUACACAAAAUAAUGUUUUCUGCUGAAAUCAGCGAAAAUCGGCACUUAUAAUAAAGUUGCACAACAUACUCGGUUCAAGGUAGAUAUUAAAGCGAGGCUGACAGCAAAGAGAAAUAGAAGAGUAAAGGAAAAAUAUAACUUUUUUUUAAAUGUAGACUAAAAAUAUAACUUUUUUUUAAAUGUAGGCGAUUACAUACAGUAUGGCCUAAAUCCUGUUUUUUUAUUAUUUUAUUUUUUUUUUCGUUUCGGUGCUGGGGCUUCAAGCACCACGUCCAGAUUUCAUAGGCUCAAGCCUAUGAAAACGAAUUUUCACAAGCAAGUGAUGCAAUAUUAAUCACGGUUUCCUGCUAUAAAAUGCAAUACUUUCAGUUAGCUGUCGGGGCUUUCGUGGGAAGGACGCGGAUGAAGGAGUCAGCGGGGAAAUGUGCCCACUGUAUGGUCACAUGGACACAAGAAACGAGCAGCUAAUCGACUUUCCUCAUCAUCACAGGCGACCGGCAGUAACACAGCACCUCUGGCACUGAACCCACUCCACCAGCAGCACGGCACGCGCCACAUGGUGCAUCAUUUCAGCACCACGAACAGCUCCGCUGGCGCACUGAAGAAUGAUGCAUUAUUGAAAGCCUAUAUCAAACAGCUCUGGGGUGCUGUCUUUCUGAGCAGGGGCUCUGGAUGAAGUCGGACUGUCUGCCUGCACAAUGGCCUCUAAUAUGUUAAUGGCCGUAGGGGAUGCCUGAGGUAUCGUCCCCAGCUGCUUCGCCUACCGUAUGUCAGACCGCUGUGACAGAGUCCUCUAUUAAUCAGGGGCAUAUUUCAUCGGUAACUCCGCCGAUAUCAUAACCCUUAAAGCUCCAUCAAUAGCAGGCCGGCCUGACGCCUGAUCCUUAGUGCUGCGCAUCAGGAGGCCUUCCUUCUAUUGCGCUUCCGGAACGUUCUGGAGAGCCCAAAACUUGCCCCAUCCGGUUAGUCUGCCGAUUGAGUAUUAAUAAAUAAAAACACACACACAUAUAUAUUUUUUAUAUAAACCAAUCAUCUCUAAAGUGUUGAAUGCGCGCGCAGGCCAUUAUGGAUUAUUCAUGCCUUUCAAAGGAUCCCUUAACUUAAUUCCUUCAGGCUUUCAGUCGGGGGAAUAAUUAAUCUAUACCAUGAAUGUAAAUAAAAGGAAAUUGGAUUCCUGACAGACGAAAUAAGAGAGUUUUCGACACCACCACGACAAAAGUAAUGAUUUCACCACACCUUAUGGUAACACGGGAACUGAGAUUUACGAGCGACUUGUUUUACAACACAGCCCUGAGCGGCUGAGAGCGAGUCUGUCCUAAUCGUAGCUGUUAGGUGCUGAUUUUAAGAUGAAUGAGACUGUAACAAUGUGCUCACAACAUGAUGCAAAUAAGUAAAAAAAAGGAGAGCUCCGAGUCUGACUUUAUUUGAAUUGGACGUUCUCUUAUAAUUAUAUUUUGGAGGAGCACAUCUGAAAAAAUAAAACAAGAAUAAAAGUGUGAAGGGAAAAAAAGCCCCCACAAAGGGCUCCGUUGAUAAACCAAUGCGCAGAAAGGUUGGCCUUUUGGACGGAAAUGUCAAACCAAGGAUGUGGAUUGGAAGAUCCCCCCACAUCUGCACUCAUUUCCCACUUAUAUUUGCUCGGUAAUCCGCUGUGGAAGCCCUCUAUCGCCGGGGAGCAGGUUUGAGAGGCAAUGCUGUUGACACAGGGGUAUAUUUCAAUCACAGAGGGUUCAGAGUCAGGCGCACAACUUAUUUGUCUAAUAAAUCCGUCAUUUAGUUAGAAAAAUAUUUGAUCUUGAGGGGCUGACCUCUUUGUCAUGUAGCCACUGACAAAUAAAAACGGGUAUGGUUGCUUCAGAAAAUGGGCAGGGUGUAUCCUGAAUAAAAACAUUAGAUUCAUAUUCAUUUGAGAAUAUGGAUGAGCAGAAGUCUGGAAGCAGGGAUCUUCUUGUUAUAUCUUUUCAGAUGGAAGAAAAGAACAUUUUUAUUCAAGUUUAAGGAGAACAAAUCCCUUUGGCCCAUUUUUAAGCACGGCUAAUAAAAUAUUAAUUGUAUACAAUUAAUAUUUUAUUAAUCAAAUGCCUGUUAAUUCUAUAGAAUGAGCAGGCAUUUGAUUAGAUAGUCAAUGCUUGUGCCACUUGCAGCCUAAAGACUGUCAUUAACCUGCAAGAGAAUGUUUGCAACUUUUAUUAUUACAUUUUAAUAUCCCACUAAUAACAGUUUAAAAUUGAAUGCUUGUUUAAGUUUUACAAACUGAUUUUACUCUUCAGUACAACAAUAUUCAAUUUCAUUUACACAUUCCAACAAUAAGGUGUUUAUCAAUUUAUGAAGCUUAAUUUUCUUUCUUAAAAAUGACACAAACUAAAGAACUUAAGCAAAAUAUUCAUGUAUAUUAUAUCUAUAAUUGAUUUGAUUUGGUUUGAAAUGGUUUAUUUAAAGCAAUCAAAUAAGAAUAAUACACAACACAUA